rnacentral:lncRNA from 1 species
UUUCAUUUUCCGCCGCCACCGCCCGACGGUGGGUUAAAAUUUUCCUUACCACUAUUCUUACUUGCCUCUUUGUGAUUUCUUCUGGUGACUCCUGAUCUUUGCCCUAAAUUUUCCAAUCUCAAGAUUUUCCUCACUCAGUUGCAUGUGCACACACAAAAUGUCAUAACAAAAUUUGAAAUAUAGAAAGCAAACACACAAAAAAUCAAAUAAUGAACUAGUAAUUGAGAAAGUCUCCCCGAAACACCCAUCAGUAGGUGUUAAACUUCUUUGUGCUUAGUAUUUUCUUUUUCUUCUUCUUUAUGCUAAACCUCUUCAAGAAAUUGAUCAUGCCAAGCACAUGUUUCCAUUCAUCAAUCAUAGGACCUUGAUCUCCAAUUUCUCGAAGAUCUCCUUGAAGUACUUGAACCUGUUUUCCUUCCUAUGAUUUUUCUUUUUAUGAGGAAAGGGUUUUUCACAUGACCUUUUUUUCUUUUCUCUCUUCCUCUUUUCCUUAAUUUUCUCCUUCUUUAACCUUCUCUUUUUCUUUUUCCUUUCUUUCUUUAUUUUCACUUUUUUUUUCUUUUUUUCUUUUCUUUCAACCGUGGCUUUUCCUUUCUAAUUCGUCUUCUCACUCUCAUUUGACUGUCUUGUUUCUAUUUCCUCUAUCUUUUCCGCAAUUACAACUUUUUUUGUUUUUGGUUCCUCUUCCAACAUCUCUAACUCUUCUUCUUCUUUCUUUUCCUCAUUGAGAACCUUAUCAUUUGCAAAGAUAGUGGCUUGACAUUCUUCUUUAGGGUUAACUUCAGUAUCAACCCUAAUAAUGCCCAAAGCCUUCAGGGCAUGAGAGUGUUGUUCCUGCAAUAAACGUUCUUGUGCUUCUCCCAAUGUUUCUUUGCGUACAAGAGAUUGUUUUUGUUGUAAACACUGUCGGGCUUCCCCCAACGUUUCUUUUGGUACAAAAAAUAAAUGUUGCCGCAAGAAUUGUUGGACUUCCCCCAACGUUUCUUUUGGGACAGAGAAUAGUUCCUACCGUAAACGUUCUUUAGCUUCCCCUAACGUUUCUUUUCGCGAAGAGGACUGCUGCCUUAAGUGGCUCUGAUAUAUAUUUGAAUGAGGGUCCCACCAGUGGUUGAAAUCAUUUUGAUGAAAUUGAGUGCCCAUAGAAUCAAAUUCUUGAUCAGACUAUAUUUUGCAAAACUUAGGCACAAAACCCUAGAUACCAUUUAUUAGAACAAAAAUAAAAAUUAACAAAAAAUAUCAAGUCAAACUCAAUCAAUUCGCACUACUAGAAAAAUAAACCUCGAGUCCCCGACAACGACGCCAAAAACUUGU